UGGGGAAUAUUGGACAAUGGGCGCAAGCCUGAUCCAGCCAUGCCGCGUGAGUGAUGAAGGCCCUAGGGUUGUAAAGCUCUUUCACCGGUGAAGAUAAUGACGGUAACCGUAUAAGAAGCCCCGGCUAACUUCGUGCCAGCAGCCGCGGUAAUACGAAGGGGGCUAGCGUUGUUCGGAUUUACUGGGCGUAAAGCGCACGUAGGCGGACUAUUAAGUCAGGGGUGAAAUCCCGGGGCUCAACCCCGGAACUGCCUUUGAUACUGGUAGUCUUGAGUUCGAGAGAGGUGAGUGGAAUUCCGAGUGUAGAGGUGAAAUUCGUAGAUAUUCGGAGGAACACCAGUGGCGAAGGCGGCUCACUGGCUCGAUACUGACGCUGAGGUGCGAAAGCGUGGGGAGCAAACGGG
rnacentral:rRNA from 1 species